AUGUAUAACACAGACUACACCAUUCUUUGAUUGCACAAAACCAGCCUUUCUUUGAAGCAUCCACAGUGUUUCUUGUUCUUUCAUUUUUUCUAAUAGAAAUCUCAUCUAUUAGCUUAUGCCAUUGCUGCAUCUUAUAGUUCUUACUCCAAAACAAAAUUCACAAGUCUGUCUCUUAUUGCAAAGCUAAAUGGCCAAGAUUUCUCCUCAUUGAUUCCAUGAUCUCAAAUAUGGUUUCUCCAUUGGAUCAGUCAAAUUGGAACUUUGAUGCCUCA
rnacentral:misc_RNA from 1 species